GGUGAUUCCAGGUCGAGCCUCCCGCCCUCACCAAGCUUGACCCAGCCCAAACCCCUAAUAGCCACGCGCUGGGAGCCUCCCCACCGCGUGGUACCCGGCCCUCUCUACCACCGCGCGCCAGAAUGCACCUCUGUAAAAGACAACAAAAUAAGAACCAGCCAAGGAAAGCAAAUAAGUUUCUUGACUUCUUUUGAACGUGUGAGGACCAUUUGACUUGUCCACAUCCCAGAGAUCCUGUUUCCCAAGCAAACAUUUUCAGGAGUCUUUGAGGACAAUCUUCAGCAAAAUGAGAGAACAGACCAAGAAAAAGAAAAGCAUGAACUCAAGUGUAUCCAAACCAGGAGCACAGCUGAAGGAAGUCCCAGAAGGGCAGCUACCCAGCAGGCUCACAGAGCGACUGGCACAGAUGGGAGCAAGAAGGGCCCUCUUUUUCCGUAUCAUGUGAUUUUUAAAAGCAUAUGUUUGUAUUAUCUGAAAUACUUCAGAUAAAAAAAAAAACCCAGCUUACUUCAUGUUACAAACUUUCUUCUAAGCAUACACAAUCCUCCCUCUGCAUUUCUAUUUUUAAAACAUGGUGUGUUUAAGAAUUACUUAGUGGUAACAUCAGUCAAUACAAAAGCAUAUGAAAGUCUCUGGCUGCCUCCUACACG